GGUUGUGGCUCAGUGGUAGAGUGCUCGCCUAGCACAUUAGAGGCACUGGGUUCGAUCCUUAGCACCA
rnacentral:tRNA from 1 species